UACGUAGGGGGCUAGCGUUGUCCGGAAUCAUUGGGCGUAAAGCGCGCGUAGGCGGCCAGGUAAGUCCGUUGUAAAAGUCAAAGGCUCAACCUGUGAAAGCCGAUGGAUACUGCCGGGCUCGAGUCCGGAAGAGGCGAGUAGAAUUCCUGGUGUAGCGGUGGAAUGCGCAGAUAUCAGGAGGAAUACCCAUAGCGAAGGCGGCUCGCUGGGACGGUACUGACGCUAAGGCGCGAAAGCGUGGGGAGCGAACAGG
rnacentral:rRNA from 1 species